GAUGAGCGCUGGCGGCGUGCCUAAUACAUGCAAGUCGAGCGAACAGACGAGGAGCUUGCUCCUCUGACGUUAGCGGCGGACGGGUGAGUAACACGUGGAUAACCUACCUAUAAGACUGGGAUAACUUCGGGAAACCGGAGCUAAUACCGGAUAAUAUAUUGAACCGCAUGGUUCAAUAGUGAAAGACGGUUUUGCUGUCACUUAUAGAUGGAUCCGCGCCGCAUUAGCUAGUUGGUAAGGUAACGGCUUACCAAGGCAACGAUGCGUAGCCGACCUGAGAGGGGGAUCGGCCACACUGGAACUGAGACACGGUCCAGACUCCUACGGGAGGCAGCAGUAGGGAAUCUUCCGCAAUGGGCGAAAGCUUGACGGAGCAACGCCGCGUGAGUGAUGAAGGUCUUCGGAUCGUAAAACUCUGUUAUUAGGGAAGAACAAAUGUGUAAGUAACUAUGCACGUCCUGACGGUACCUAAUCAGAAAGCCACAGCUAACUACGUG
rnacentral:rRNA from 1 species